rnacentral:rRNA from 1 species
UUAAGCGACUAAGCGUACACGGUGGAUGCCCUGGCAGUCAGAGGCGAUGAAGGACGUGCUAAUCUGCGAUAAGCGUCGGUAAGGUGAUAUGAACCGUUAUAACCGGCGAUUUCCGAAUGGGGAAACCCAGUGUGUUUCGACACACUAUCAUUAACUGAAUCCAUAGGUUAAUGAGGCGAACCGGGGGAACUGAAACAUCUAAGUACCCCGAGGAAAAGAAAUCAACCGAGAUUCCCCCAGUAGCGGCGAGCGAACGGGGAGCAGCCCAGAGCCUGAAUCAGUGUGUGUGUUAGUGGAAGCGUCUGGAAAGGCGCGCGAUACAGGGUGACAGCCCCGUACACAAAAAUGCACAUGCUGUGAGCUCGAUGAGUAGGGCGGGACACGUGGUAUCCUGUCUGAAUAUGGGGGGACCAUCCUCCAAGGCUAAAUACUCCUGACUGACCGAUAGUGAACCAGUACCGUGAGGGAAAGGCGAAAAGAACCCCGGCGAGGGGAGUGAAAAAGAACCUGAAACCGUGUACGUACAAGCAGUGGGAGCCUCUUUAUGGGGUGACUGCGUACCUUUUGUAUAAUGGGUCAGCGACUUAUAUUCUGUAGCAAGGUUAACCGAAUAGGGGAGCCGAAGGGAAACCGAGUCUUAACUGGGCGUUAAGUUGCAGGGUAUAGACCCGAAACCCGGUGAUCUAGCCAUGGGCAGGUUGAAGGUUGGGUAACACUAACUGGAGGACCGAACCGACUAAUGUUGAAAAAUUAGCGGAUGACUUGUGGCUGGGGGUGAAAGGCCAAUCAAACCGGGAGAUAGCUGGUUCUCCCCGAAAGCUAUUUAGGUAGCGCCUCGUGAACUCAUCUCCGGGGGUAGAGCACUGUUUCGGCAAGGGGGUCAUCCCGACUUACCAACCCGAUGCAAACUGCGAAUACCGGAGAAUGUUAUCACGGGAGACACACGGCGGGUGCUAACGUCCGUCGUGAAGAGGGAAACAACCCAGACCGCCAGCUAAGGUCCCAAAGUCAUGGUUAAGUGGGAAACGAUGUGGGAAGGCCCAGACAGCCAGGAUGUUGGCUUAGAAGCAGCCAUCAUUUAAAGAAAGCGUAAUAGCUCACUGGUCGAGUCGGCCUGCGCGGAAGAUGUAACGGGGCUAAACCAUGCACCGAAGCUGCGGCAGCGACGCUUAUGCGUUGUUGGGUAGGGGAGCGUUCUGUAAGCCUGUGAAGGUGUGCUGUGAGGCAUGCUGGAGGUAUCAGAAGUGCGAAUGCUGACAUAAGUAACGAUAAAGCGGGUGAAAAGCCCGCUCGCCGGAAGACCAAGGGUUCCUGUCCAACGUUAAUCGGGGCAGGGUGAGUCGACCCCUAAGGCGAGGCCGAAAGGCGUAGUCGAUGGGAAACAGGUUAAUAUUCCUGUACUUGGUGUUACUGCGAAGGGGGGACGGAGAAGGCUAUGUUGGCCGGGCGACGGUUGUCCCGGUUUAAGCGUGUAGGCUGGUUUUCCAGGCAAAUCCGGAAAAUCAAGGCUGAGGCGUGAUGACGAGGCACUACGGUGCUGAAGCAACAAAUGCCCUGCUUCCAGGAAAAGCCUCUAAGCAUCAGGUAACAUCAAAUCGUACCCCAAACCGACACAGGUGGUCAGGUAGAGAAUACCAAGGCGCUUGAGAGAACUCGGGUGAAGGAACUAGGCAAAAUGGUGCCGUAACUUCGGGAGAAGGCACGCUGAUAUGUAGGUGAAGCGACUUGCUCGUGGAGCUGAAAUCAGUCGAAGAUACCAGCUGGCUGCAACUGUUUAUUAAAAACACAGCACUGUGCAAACACGAAAGUGGACGUAUACGGUGUGACGCCUGCCCGGUGCCGGAAGGUUAAUUGAUGGGGUUAGCGCAAGCGAAGCUCUUGAUCGAAGCCCCGGUAAACGGCGGCCGUAACUAUAACGGUCCUAAGGUAGCGAAAUUCCUUGUCGGGUAAGUUCCGACCUGCACGAAUGGCGUAAUGAUGGCCAGGCUGUCUCCACCCGAGACUCAGUGAAAUUGAACUCGCUGUGAAGAUGCAGUGUACCCGCGGCAAGACGGAAAGACCCCGUGAACCUUUACUAUAGCUUGACACUGAACAUUGAGCCUUGAUGUGUAGGAUAGGUGGGAGGCUUUGAAGUGUGGACGCCAGUCUGCAUGGAGCCGACCUUGAAAUACCACCCUUUAAUGUUUGAUGUUCUAACGUUGACCCGUAAUCCGGGUUGCGGACAGUGUCUGGUGGGUAGUUUGACUGGGGCGGUCUCCUCCUAAAGAGUAACGGAGGAGCACGAAGGUUGGCUAAUCCUGGUCGGACAUCAGGAGGUUAGUGCAAUGGCAUAAGCCAGCUUGACUGCGAGCGUGACGGCGCGAGCAGGUGCGAAAGCAGGUCAUAGUGAUCCGGUGGUUCUGAAUGGAAGGGCCAUCGCUCAACGGAUAAAAGGUACUCCGGGGAUAACAGGCUGAUACCGCCCAAGAGUUCAUAUCGACGGCGGUGUUUGGCACCUCGAUGUCGGCUCAUCACAUCCUGGGGCUGAAGUAGGUCCCAAGGGUAUGGCUGUUCGCCAUUUAAAGUGGUACGCGAGCUGGGUUUAGAACGUCGUGAGACAGUUCGGUCCCUAUCUGCCGUGGGCGCUGGAGAACUGAGGGGGGCUGCUCCUAGUACGAGAGGACCGGAGUGGACGCAUCACUGGUGUUCGGGUUGUCAUGCCAAUGGCACUGCCCGGUAGCUAAAUGCGGAAGAGAUAAGUGCUGAAAGCAUCUAAGCACGAAACUUGCCCCGAGAUGAGUUCUCCCUGACCCUUUAAGGGUCCUGAAGGAACGUUGAAGACGACGACGUUGAUAGGCCGGGUGUGUAAGCGCAGCGAUGCGUUGAGCUAACCGGUACUAAUGAACCGUGAGGCUUAACCUU